rnacentral:rRNA from 1 species
AUGUUGGCCACCGGCGAGCUGCAAUCCCUGGCUCCCCAGCUGGAUUUCCUCGAGCUGGCCAAGCUUCUCCGGCUCAAGGUCGCCGGAGAGCCAUUUCCUCACAGCUUCAUCCACGAGCUGAACGCCUACUCCGCUGCCCCCGCGGACCUCGUCCGCGGCCGUGACCCCGCUCCGGGCACCGGCCAAGCUGGCGACGGCAAAGGGAUGGCGUGGUACUUCUACAGCCCCGUCAAUUGGCACGACAGCGCGGGUGGCGCGCCGAGGCGGAACCGCCAGGUCGGCGGCGGCGGAGAGCGGAGGUUCUGGCACCCGGAGGGUGGCGAGAAGCCCAUUCUGGGCCCGGACAGUAAACCCGUUGGGGCGUACUGGCGCACGCUCUCGUACGUGCUCAAGAUCAAUAAUCCGCCAGGUGCUAAAAAAUCAUUCAGAAACAAAAGGCUGGGCUGGUGCAUGGUCGAGAUUGGCCUCCAGCAGCAGCAGGACGGCGCCGCCGGCCAGCAGUGGGAGCUCUGCAAGGUGUACAGGUCGCCCUCGCCUCGCAGUACGGCGGAUCCGGUCGAAACAUCCACGGCCGCCGCCGCCGGCGCACAGGGCAUCCUCCCGGCUGCCGGUAACGGCGUAUCUGGAGCUGAAGGCCGGCCGCAUGACUCGGCGCUGGAGGGCGAAGCGAUUCCGGAGGUGCUCGGCGGCGAUAUGCCAUGUCCUCCGGCACCGCCAUCUGCUUUGUGUGACUACAAUGUCCAUUUCCCCGGGGUCAACCGGAGCCCAGCUCUCCUCAUCGCCCCCGCCUCCAUACACGGAACUCUUGCAAUUAUGAAGAAGACCGAUGCUGCGUCGGCGGCGGCAACCGUCGUAAUGAAGCUCGAUGGUUCAUCGAUACCGUCGGCCGAGCGGAUGAAGGAGAUGGCCAACCUCGUCCUCGGUUUCGAGAGUCCGGUGGUUGUUGUGUCGGCCAUGGGGAACACCGCCAGCAACAUUCUCCUGGCCGCAUGGAAGGCACUGAGCUGCGACCUCCAAGAGGCGAGCGAAAUCGACGAGUUCAAGAACAUAAGGGAGCUGCAUCUCAGGACGGUUGAUGAGCUUGGAUUAGAUAGCUCAACUGUUUCAGGUUCACUGGAUCAGCUGGAACAACAUCUUCAGUAUGCAGCUAUGACAAAAGAGAUGACUUCUAUGACACGAGAUUGCCUUGUUUCUGUCUGUGAAGGCACGUCUACGAAAAUGUUUUUCGAGUAUCUAAAUAAACUUGGGAAAGGAGCGGUACAGGAAUGGGAAUUGCAUACCGUCGCUGCUUUUGGAAGUGAUGGAAAUGACUUGGCUGCAGCUAUCAUUGGCAGAGACUUGGGAUUAGAAGAAAUACAGGUUUGGAAGGAUCAAGACAUCUUCACGUGCGAUACUAAUGUUUGUGCAAAGGCAAUACCAGUACCCUACUUGACUUUUGAUGAGGCAGCUGAACUUGGGUUCUUUAGCGCACAGUCAAUCCAACUGGCUACGGAAUGUGGAAUAUCAGUAAGAGUUAAGAACUCGUUCAAUCCUGAAGCACCGGGUACUCUGAUUACUAAGACAAGAGAUACAACCAAGAGUGCAUUAUCCAGCAUUGCGUUGAAAUCAAAUAUUACCAUUCUGGACAUACAGAGGACAGGUACUCUGGACCAGAGUGCUUUUGUAGAAAAGGCCAUUUCAAAAUUUAAAUAUUUUGAAUAUUUGGGCAUCUCUGUCGAUUGGGUGGCUACUAGUGAAAAUAUGUCAUUUACACUAGUUCCGUCAAAACCUUUGAGUCAGGAUUUGAUCCAGCUGGCGCUUGAUAAUGCAGUUAAAGAACUUGGAAAAAUUGCAACUGUUCAUCAACGACAGGACAUAUCAGCCAUCUGCCUAAUAGGGAACCCGCAGAUGUCGUUACCCAUUCUUGGGAAGGUGCUCAAUGUUCUAGGGAGCAACAAUUUUGAUAUUGAGAAGGUCCCCCGAGGGUCGCCCAAGGUGGCGAAUGUUUCUUUGGUUGUCCGUGACAAUGCGGCAGAACGCUGUGUACAACUCCUCCAUUCUGUAUUCUUUGAGCUUAACGGCUGCCCGGUCCCGGUGAACUCACAAGCUGCAGCAUCGGGCUCGAGCGACAAGAGAAAGGCGGAUGGCGACCACCCGGAUGCUCCAACGGGCGUGCGUCGGGAAAUGGCGGAGACGGAAUCCCUGGUUCCUGAAGAGUUGGAGCGCUCGUUGUUGUCGAACGACGAAACUCUGCAGUUGGAGUUCCAAAAGUUUCUUUCGGACGAUCGAAACUACGAACCAUCUGGUUUACUGGAUAACGUGUGGACUCAUCAGGAUGAUGAACCACCAAGCUACGUGUGGACUCAUCAGGAUGAUGAACUACCAAGCUACGUGUUCCAGACUCAUCAGGAUGAUGAACCACCAAGCUACGUGUUCCAGACGCAAGGGGGGCCGCCGCCGCGUAGGUUGAGGCUUCUCUACGGCGUACCCUCCAGCCACCGCUUGCAAGAGGUGCUCAAUGUUCCACCGCGGACGCCUCAAGAAGUCGGCGCACUCAUCCGCAUUCACCGCGGGGUGCGCUCGCGAAUGUGCCUGGCCAUCUCAUUUUUUCAAAAUAUGGAUUAUUUGGGCAUCUCUAUCAAUUGGGUGGCUACUAGUGAAGGCAAGAUGCCGCUUACACUUGUUACAUCAGAACUGUUGAGUCAGGCAUUGAUCCAACCGGCGCUUGAAGAGGCAGGCAAAGAGCUUCAGAAUACCCCAGCCGUUCAUGGACUGUACAACAGAUCAGUCAUUUCCUUGACAGGGAACGCCCAGUUGUCGCCAAGCAAUCUUCGAAAGGUGCUCAAUGUUCUAGGGAGCAGCCCUGUUGUGGUCGAGAAGGUAUCUCAAGGCUCGUCCAAGGUGGCUAAGAUUUCCUUGGUGGUCCAUGGCAAUGUGGCGCAACACUAUGGAGAAGUCCUCCGUUCAGCAUUCUUUAAGAACCCAGUGGAUUCAUCCGCGCCGUCAAGCUACGGCGUCAAGAAGAACACAGAGGAUCCACCCUCCGGCGGGUUCUCUGAAGCCGGGAUCAGUAAGAUAUCCGAAAGGGUGCGUCGCCUGGCAAUCGACUAA